rnacentral:rRNA from 1 species
CUAACUGGAGGACCGAACCGACUAAUGUUGAAAAAUUAGCGGAUGACCUGUGGCUGGGGGUGAAAGGCCAAUCAAACCGGGAGAUAGCUGGUUCUCCCCGAAAGCUAUUUAGGUAGCGCCUCGUGAAUUCAUCUCCGGGGGUAGAGCACUGUUUCGGCUAGGGGGCCAUCCCGGCUUACCAACCCGAUGCAAACUGCGAAUACCGGAGAAUGUUAUCACGGGAGACACACGGCGGGUGCUAACGUCCGUCGUGAAGAGGGAAACAACCCAGACCGCCAGCUAAGGUCCCAAAGUCAUGGUUAAGUGGGAAACGAUGUGGGAAGGCCCAGACAGCCAGGAUGUUGGCUUAGAAGCAGCCAUCAUUUAAAGAAAGCGUAAUAGCUCACUGGUCGAGUCGGCCUGCGCGGAAGAUGUAACGGGGCUAAACCAUGCACCGAAGCUGCGGCAGCGACACUGUGUGUUGUUGGGUAGGGGAGCGUUCUGUAAGCCUGUGAAGGUGUGUCGUGAGGCAUGCUGGAGGUAUCAGAAGUGCGAAUGCUGACAUAAGUAACGAUAAAGCGGGUGAAAAGCCCGCUCGCCGGAAGACCAAGGGUUCCUGUCCAACGUUAAUCGGGGCAGGGUGAGUCGACCCCUAAGGCGAGGCCGAAAGGCGUAGUCGAUGGGAAACGGGUUAAUAUUCCCGUACUUGGUGUUACUGCGAAGGGGGGACGGAGAAGGCUAUGUUGGCCGGGCGACGGUUGUCCCGGUUUAAGCGUGUAGGUGUGUGUUCCAGGUAAAUCCGGUUCACUUUAACACUGAGGCGUGACGACGAGGCACUACGGUGCUGAAGCAACAAAUGCCCUGCUUCCAGGAAAAGCCUCUAAGCAUCAGGUAACAUCAAAUCGUACCCCAAACCGACACAGGUGGUCAGGUAGAGAAUACCAAGGCGCUUGAGAGAACUCGGGUGAAGGAACUAGGCAAAAUGGUGCCGUAACUUCGGGAGAAGGCACGCUGACACGUAGGUGAAGUGAUUUACUCAUGGAGCUGAAGUCAGUCGAAGAUACCAGCUGGCUGCAACUGUUUAUUAAAAACACAGCACUGUGCAAACACGAAAGUGGACGUAUACGGUGUGACGCCUGCCCGGUGCCGGAAGGUUAAUUGAUGGGGUCAGCGCAAGCGAAGCUCCUGAUCGAAGCCCCGGUAAACGGCGGCCGUAACUAUAACGGUCCUAAGGUAGCGAAAUUCCUUGUCGGGUAAGUUCCGACCUGCACGAAUGGCGUAAUGAUGGCCAGGCUGUCUCCACCCGAGACUCAGUGAAAUUGAACUCGCUGUGAAGAUGCAGUGUACCCGCGGCAAGACGGAAAGACCCCGUGAACCUUUACUAUAGCUUGACACUGAACAUUGAGCCUUGAUGUGUAGGAUAGGUGGGAGGCUUUGAAGUGUGGACGCCAGUCUGCAUGGAGCC